ACUACGGGCGGCAGCAGUGGGGAAUAUUGGGCAAUGGGCGCAAGCCUGACCCAGCAACGCCGCGUGAAGGAAGAAGGCUUUCGGGUUGUAAACUUCUUUUCUCAGGGACGAAGAAAGUGACGGUACCUGAGGAAUAAGCCACGGCUAACUACGUGCCAGCAGCCGCGGUAAUACGUAGGUGGCAAGCGUUAUCCGGAUUUAUUGGGUGUAAAGGGCGUGUAGGCGGGAGCGCAAGUCAGAUGUGAAAACUCAGGGCUCAACCCUGAGCCUGCAUUUGAAACUGUGUUUCUUGAGUGCUGGAGAGGCAAUCGGAAUUCCGUGUGUAGCGGUGAAAUGCGUAGAUAUACGGAGGAACACCAGUGGCGAAGGCGGAUUGCUGGACAGUAACUGACGCUGAGGCGCGAAAGCGUGGGGAGCAAACAGGAUUAGAUACCCGUGUAGUC
rnacentral:rRNA from 1 species